GGAAAGCUGUGUGAUCUUAAGCAAGAUCUUAUGUAACCUUCCUUGGCCUCAGUUUCCCCAAUUGUAGAAUGAGGAUACUAGUAUCCACCUUAUACAUACUAAUUGUCUCGUAAAGAAGGAAGGUAAUAAUGCAUGUAAAUGCCCAGCAUAGAGCCUGGUUCAUGCAGCUGCAUUCUUUAAUCAAAUGUUUCUAAGAUCAAUUAGAUGACAAGUAUUGCACGAGGCUAUGGGGCUUCAUAAGUGAAUAAGAUAAAGAUUCUGACCUGCAGUCCUUAUAUUCUAAGGGGGCAUGGCAACUAUACGAACGAAUACUUCGGUGGGGAUGUGAUGUGGCAUGGCAAAGAGAGUGUACUGACAUGGUGUCGAGUUUUGAAGAGUGGAUAAAAAUUCUCCCGGCAGAGGAUCUGAAAAAGCUCUUCAAAUUGCUCAGGUUAAGUAACCAUAUACCUUGAUGAGUGGGAAAAAAUAAUACAAUUUUAUUUUGGUUCCAAUCCAAUUUUUUAAAAAAAUUUAUUGGGGUAUGGUUGAUUUGUGGUGUUGUAUUAGCUUCAGGUUUACAGUAAAGUGAAUCAGUUUUAUAUAUAUAUAUAUAUAUAUAUAUACACACAUACCCAUUCUUUUUUCCCAUAUAGGUUAUUACAGAACAUUGAGCAGGCCUCCUUGUGCUACAUAGUAGGUCCCUGUUAAUUAUCUAUUUUACAUUUAGUAGUGUGUAUGUGUUAAUCUCAUCCUCCUAAUUUAUGCCCCCACCCAUGGUUUCCCCAUUUGGUAACCAUAAAUUUGAUUUUGAAAUCAGUGAGUUUCUGUUUGUAAAUAAGUUCUUUUGUAUCAUUUUUAUUAGAUUCCACAUAUAAGUGAUAUCAUAUGAUAUUUAUCUCUCUCUGUCUGACUUACUUCACUUAAUAUGAUAAUCUCUAGGUCCAUCCAUGUUGCUGCAAGUGGCAAUAUUUCAUUAUUUUUAUGGCUGGCUAAUAUUCCAUUGUAUAUAUGUACCACAUCUUCUUAAUCCAUUCUUCUGUCAGUGGACAUUUAGGUUGCUUCCAUGUCUUGGCUAUUGUAAACAGUACUGCUAUGAACAUUGGGGUUGCAUGUAUUUUUUUGAAUUAUCAUUUUCUCUAGAUGUAUGCCCGUGGGUGGGAUUGUUGGGUCAUAUGGUACUUCUGUAUUUAGUUGUUUUUUUUUUAAGAAAUCUCCUUACUGUUCUCCACAGUGGUUGUACCAAAUUACAUUCCUACCAACAGUGCAGGAAUCUUCCCUUUGCUCCACAUCAUUUCCAACAUUUAUGAUUUGUAGGCUUUUUAUUGAUGGCCAUUCUGAGGUGAUACCUUGUUGUAGGUUUGAUUUGCAUUUCUCUAAUAAUUAGUGAUGUUGAACAUCUUUUCAUGUGCCUUUUAGCCAUCUGUCUGUCUUCUUUGGAAAAAUGUCUAUUUAGAUCUUCUGACCAUUUUUCGAUUGGGCUGUUUGGUUUUUUUGUCCAGCCCAAUUUUUACAAAAUAGACUAAUUAAACAGGUAAAACAGAGCCUGCUCUUUGUAAGUUUCAUUCUCCUUUCCCCCAGCCAAGCAAGUAGAGCUGGGGACUCUGUGACAUCAGGAGGCCUGUUAGUAAAUAGAGCACAUUUUCCUGAGGUCCAGGCCAUGUGGUCUUCUCUUCUCUCAGUUCUUGGCCCAGAUCUACUCAGAACAUUACAGCAGAGUGACCUGUGAUGGAGUCCACUCUCUCAAGUACUCUCCAAAUUCCCUCUAACCUGUAUGGAAAGACUUUUCCAUAGAAAGUUUCAGUGUAAACCUUAAAAGGUUUAUAGAAUACCACUUUGGGAAUGUCCAUCAGGUUGGGCUUCCUGCCCCACAACCUGAUUGCCAUCCACCACUGGCACCUCACAAAAACAGUGGCUUUGGCAGAGAUGGAUCACAUUGCUGAGAAGGCUAGGUGAGUUAUUCCACAGCACACGCAAAUGCUUUAUCUGGCUGGGGCCCAGAUUUCAAGAGAUUUGGACAUGUUGUUUCACGAUGAGUGAAGGUGAUGUUUUCAAAAAUUUCCCCAGAAAAAAAACUAGGAAGGAGUGAGAGAGUGGGCCCAUGAAGGUGAGGGGCAAGAAAAUGUACACUACCUUGGGUUUAUCCUGUAUGGGACUCACUGUGCUUCCUGGACUUGAGGGAGUGUUUCCUUCCCCAUGUUAGGGAAGUUUUCAGGUAUUAUCUCAUCAUAUAUUUUCUCCAGUACUUUCUCUCUUCUGAUUCAGGGAUGCCUAUAAUGCGAAUGUUGGUGCGUUUAAUGUUGUCCCAGAGGUCUCUUAAACUGUCCUCAUUUCUUUGAGGGAAGUUGGAUAAAGGGUAGCUUGGAUUAACCCCACAGGGGAGCUUGGAGUUGGUCCAGGCCACAUGCCAAGGCUGUCCUGAAGGGACAGCACAGGAGCUGGAGUGUUGAUACCUCCUAUUCUGUGAGCCAUGGGUUCUGUGUUGCUCCUGGGGGACAUGAGUUCCUGGGUGCUGCCUGUGCGCACAGGCCAGUGGAUUAUUGAUGACAUUCUACUGUGACUGCAGGAAGAAAAGCAUACAGGCAGGGCUCAAUUCAAAAUGAAAAUGUGGGAGCCCUUUUUGAAAAAGCAUGGAAAGGUGCCAUUAGAGGUACUAAAAUAAAAGCUUUUUCCAUUCUUCCAGUCUCUCUUCACUUGUCAUGGCUUUUGUUGCUUUUUUUUAAAUGCCACUAUUGAAUGCCACUCUAAGUAAAGGAAAAUUUAAAUUUUAAACGUUAGCAUAAAUUUUACCCCUUUCAUUUCAAUAUUGUGUGGUGCCUAUUUUAAAUGCAAAUAUAAGAGCAUUUAACACAUGCUAAUCAUCAAAAUUACACAAUUUGCAUAUUUCAUUCUUACCGUAGCAGAAGAAAAGCUGCACAAAACUGACUCAUCUGCUUUUAUUUCACUUCUUGAGGCAUGCACAUUUUACCAACAAGCCCUACCUUCAGCUUACUGAUGAGUAAGGAAGGAUUGAAAGAGAAGGAACAAUGGGGGCCCUUAUCUUUUUCUUUCCUUCUCUGUCCUCAUUUUCAGGUCAGUCAGGUUGAUGCCUAGUGCAGGGAAGUAACAUGAGUAAGAAAGAACAAGAUAGGGCUCUUUGGUCAUCUGUGUUUCUUAGAAAACCACUGCCUUCUUUCUGGGUUAGAAGCACGUCUUGUUUCAGAUGGAAAGUGUGGCCUCUUGGAGCUGCUGGCAUCCUUCCCCGUCCGAUAACUCAGCUGGAGACGAAACACACUUAGCUGGCACUGGCUUUGCAUCUCCUUGAGGGUCCACUGGAAUUCUGUGCUCAUGGGAGCGUCUGUGGGAGUAGCAGCAAGAAAGGACAGACACACAGACCGUGUGUAUCUCCUCUGUUCCUGUGCAUGCUCCGUUGCCUGAUCAGAAUUCACUUACAAAAUACGAGUUGAAAGAAAAAACGUUUAAGACUUUUUAAAUGAUGACAGUAGCGCAUUAAACCCAGCAUAGGGUCUUUCUGAAGACGGAGUCCUGGGGACCACCCAUGUCACACACCGUGAUGCUGGCCCUGUGCACAGCAAGGCCGCAUGCAUGAAAACGGUCAUGGGAUCCCUGCAGGUGGAGUCUGAGAAAGAAACUUGGAAGCCAGCCCUGCACACUGGGCGUUUGUGGGGAAGGAGUCCAGGGCACCCUAAAAGAUUUGUUUCUAGAGCUAGAGCCCUGGAGCACAGGCCAUGCCAGGAAAGAAGCGACAAAAAGAGACAGCGGGCCAAGUGAAGGGAGAAAAGCCGGAGAGCUGGUUCACUGGAACCGACUGGAAGCACCAGGGACGAUCCGGGAAAUGCAGCCAAGGGUCAAGGAGGGAAGCAAGACCAUAACUAGCAAAGGACUGUCAUAAACCAGCAGCCACUGGGAUCUGAUCCCAGGCCCGAGUGCCCUCCCUGGGUCCCUCUAAGCCUGUGAGCUACCCUCCACGCGCCUGGACUGGGCUCCUUAGAGGAGCCAGCCUUGCAGGACGGCAUGGCCUUCCAGGUCCUUCCUAUCAUUCUACCCUCUUGGUACAACUCAGAGACCAUUGCUGGGAGUGAGACAGCAUCUUCCCUGCCCUGCAGAGAACAGCACUUCUGCAGAGUAUUUCCCAGUUAUUUCAUCAUGGACACAAGCCGGAACCCGGCUACAUUGAACAUGUGACGUGGGAAGAGGUUAAGGGUCAUCCGCCAGCUCGCAGGGCACUGGGUCCCAGGGCUCAUCUGUGACUCUUUGCAGUCCAGCAGCAGGAGCCCGUGACUCAGGAGGUGUUUAGCUACCUGCAGGUCUCCUUCCACCACCCGUGACUCCACUGUCUGCGUUAACUCAGCACAGGGUUUCUCGACCGCGGCACUCUUAGUAAUCUUUUAGCUAAUAGCGACAAUUCUCUGUCUAGGAAACUGUGCUUUGCACCAGAGGCUGCUCAGUGGCCCCUGGCCUCUGCCCCCAUGAGAUGCCAUAACACGUCCCAGCUAUGACAACCAAAAAUGUCUCCAGACUUUGCCCACUGUCCCCUGGGGGCAUAAUCAGCCUUGGUGAGAAUCAACGACUUUGAGCAUGUGGGUCCCUGCUCGGUGCCGAUAGAAGAUACUGCUUUCAACUUCUGCUCUUAGCUAGAAAUAUUAUUCCACUUUUCCAUUAGCCUCUGUCAGCCAAAGCAUCUAUCACCUUGUCAUAUCCUUCACUCCUGGGUGUGUUAGUGAGGCUUUAGUGGGUAGUCAAGCCACUUGGUGUCAAGUCUCCAUGCUCCGUGUCCAUCCAGAAAGAGUUCUAGGAGCCUUUGGAAACUUCUCCAAAGCGUAUAUGUCCUGAGGCCUACUAAGAUUUUUAUUAGCAUACCAUCCCUUUUCUCUCUCUCUUAGGGUCCCGGAUACUAAAAUCUAGCAAGAGCUCAGGUUUGUCCUAUGGCUUAUCUGAUUUACUCUGCAAAGAGAAAAAAAACCCCGUCCUAUAAAAGAGCAUAUCCGUGUGUACAGGUGGGGCAGUGGGGCUGGGAGGUAAUAAAAAACUUGCCCAAGACCACACACAGGAAGUAAACUGAAUUUGGGUCUUUCAGCUGCUAAUUAGAGGUCCUGGACUUCUAGCAGGGCUUCUCAACAUUAGCGCAUGUAAGAAUCACCCAGGUGUGUGUGUGUACAAUGCAAGUUCCCAGCACCCCACCCCCACCCCCCUCUACAACCUCCCCGCAACCACAGGGACUCAGUAGGCGGAUCUAGAGAAGCCCUAAGAAUCAGGGUUUUAAAGAGGCAUGUUCAGUGAUUCUGCUGCAGGGUGGCCUGUUUUUCAUCUGUCAACAGUACCUGUCCCAAGUCAAGUCAGGAGUUGUUUCUCACUUGUCAUUGACGGUGAGGAUGGGGAACCCUCAUUUUCAAGGAAAAGCACCAUUUAAGCUUACUUCCCUGAGUGUGAGUUCUGAGUCACUGUUUUCUCUGUCUCAGACACGGUAGAAUUUUAGGCCUGUUUUCUGUUGUGGAACGUGAGGACUAAUGGCCUGUGUCCGCAGAGAAGGAGUGUCCGAUCUCAUUCCUACAAUGCUUCACGGAGUUAGGAGUUCCUCUCUUUCAUCAAGGGGAGGCUGUUGCUGGUUGGGGUGGACAAUCGCCUGGAGCUGGAGAUGGUAGCGAGUCUAGCUCUGCUGUGAUUCCUGGCCCAGAGGGACAAUUAAGACAUGACCCUAUUGCCAGAGCUGUGCCCAGUGCACAAGGGUUAGUGUUUCUUCUGCUCAAGAGAAAGCAGUUUCAAAUAUUUUCUUUACUAAGAACAACCAACAGAUUCUGAUAAAGACAUUUUUGUUGGUAGCCAUUGAUUUCCCUCUUCCCCCAUCUUUCCUUCCAUCCUCAAUCCCUCCCUCCCUCCCUUCCCCUCUCCCUUCCUUCCCUCCCUUCCCCCCACCCUGUCCCUCCCUCUGUCUCUCUUACUCUCCUCUUUUGAAUAGUUGACAACACAGGAUAGCACUGCUUAGAACCUCAUAAGAGGUAUACAGGCAAAGCCUCCCUCCUACUCCUAUUUCUAGCUAAGCUCCCCACCCCCAACUCUCAGCCACAUACACAUCCAUAGACACAGGUAAACUACUGGUGUUCAUUUGUUUCGCUUGCUAGAGUUUUUUUCAAUGUAUAUAUAAGUGAAUUUAAAUAGACGUCCUUAUCCCGCAGCCACAGCCUACAAAACCCACUGACCUGUACCUGCACCAUGCUCUUCUCACUUAGCAGGUUUCCAUACAUAAAGCCUCUAUUCAUUCCUUUUUACAGCACCAUAGUACUUCCAUUGUGUGGAUUUAUGUAAUUUAUUUAACCAGUUGUUCCUGGUAUUUUGCUCUUAUCAACGACGCUUUACCAGGUAACCUCCCACCGUGUUGUUUUUGCACCUGUGCAAGUGUAUCUUUAUACUUUGUUUUUUUUUUUUUUUGGCAUCUGAACAAGUAUAUCCGUAAGAUAAAUUCCUGCAAAUGACUCGGUCAACACGUAUGUGCUUGUGUAAUCCUGAUAGCUUCAGACAAGUCACCUGUCAUAGACAGGGCACUGACCACACUUCCUCCAAGGGUGUGGCAGUCCCUGUUGUGACUAGGCUUUGUUGGGAGGAGGAAGGGGUCAGAGAUUGUGGGUGGGUAUUUCAUCACAAUACUGGGCUGCCCAUCACACUGUGCCAGGUGUCAUCGUUGAAAUUCUUAUACAACCCAAGGAGGGAAUAUUUUAAUUUUUGAAAUUAUAACUAAAUAAAUUAGGCCUCUUUGGCUGCAAGUAAUAAAAUACCUUUCAGCUCAGCUUGGUGGGGGGUAGGUAGUGAGAAAGGAAGGAAAGUGGUCACCAUAGGACAAAGAUAUAGCUCGUGGUGCAGAAAUGUAGCUCUGCUCCCAGUUCAUACCUGGGGAGGGGCUGAGUGAAUGACUCAGUGUGUGUGAAGGUCUUUGAUUCUGAACUUGGGUGGGGCACAAGGUCCCAGGUCUGGGCAGCAGGGAACAGUAUAAAGCAUCAUGUGGUCCAAACUGGAAAUCUGGAGCCUACCACUCUGAGUGCGCUGAGCCACUGGGCAGAUAGAACCACAAAUAAAAUGAUUUAUUUUUGCCACUUUAAUAGUAUAACAAGAAAGAUGACAAAAAUAGAGCAGACACAAAAUGAAUCUAAGUGCCCAGUAAAUCUCCCCUUUAAAUCACCCCAGCUGUUUCUGAGGUUAUCGUAUCGCUGUGGCAAAAAAUCAGUUGGGUAUGAACUGGGCAAAUUCUCAGCUCUGAAACUGUUUCUAUUCAGCAGGUAGUUUCCUAAAAAUUGGUUAUCAAAGAUGCUUUUGAGAGUACAAAUCAUUUUUUUAACAUUUUUUAAAACAAAAGUUUCUCUUUCAUGAGUAUCCAAAAAAAAUAAAAAUAAAAAUAAAAAA
rnacentral:lncRNA from 1 species